UGCGUAGGCGGCGCGCUAAGUCAGUGGUGAAAGCCUCCCGCUCAACGGGAGAAAUGCCAUUGAUACUGGCGUGCUUGAGUACGGACGAGGUAGGCGGAAUUUAUGGUGUAGCGGUGAAAUGCAUAGAUACCAUAAAGAACACCGAUAGCGUAGGCAGCUUACUAGACCGUAACUGACGCUGAGGCACGAAAGCGUGGGGAGCGAACAGGAUUAGAUACCCUGGUAGUCC
rnacentral:rRNA from 1 species